rnacentral:rRNA from 1 species
AGUGAACGCUGGCGGUAGGCCUAACACAUGCAAGUCGAACGGCAGCACAGUAAGGGCUUGCUCUUACGGGUGGCGAGUGGCGGACGGGUGAGGAAUACAUCGGAAUCUACUUUUUCGUGGGGGAUAACGUAGGGAAACUUACGCUAAUACCGCAUACGACCUACGGGUGAAAGCAGGGGAUCUUCGUACCUUGCGCGAUUGAAUGAGCCGAUGUCGGAUUAGCUAGUUGGCGGGGUAAAGGCCCACCAAGGCGACGAUCCGUAGCUGGUCUGAGAGGAUGACCGGCCAGACUGGAACUGAAACACGGUCCAGACUCCUACGGGAGGCAGCAGUGGGGAAGAUUGGGCAAUGGGCGAAAGCCUGCCCCAGCGAAGCCGCGUGGGGGAGGAAGGCCUUCGGAUUGUAAAGCUCUUUUGGAAGGGAAGAAAAGAAGGGGUUUUACCCACCACUGUACUGACGGUACCAAAAAAGGAAGCACCGGCUAACUCCGGG